AUGGGGGUGUGUUUGCACGGGGGUGUUGCACGGGGAUGUUGCACUAUUGCAUGGGGACAUUGCACGGGGAUAUCAUUGCACGGGGACAUUGCACGGGGACAUUGCACAGUGAUAUUGUGCAGGGACACCGUUGCACAGGAACAUCAUUGCACGGGGACAUUGCACUAUUGCAUGGGGACAUUGCACAGGGGUAUCAUCGGACGGGGGCGCUGCACGGGGACAUUGCACGGGGACAUUGCAUGGGGAUAUUGUGCAGAGACAUCACUUCAUGGGGACGUUGCAUGGGGACGUUGCUCUAUUGCAUGGGGACAUUGCACAGGGAUAUCAUUGCAUGGGGGCAUUGUGCAGGGACAUCAUUGCACGGGAAUAUUGCAUGGGGACUCUGCACGGAGAUAUUGUGCAGGGACAUCACUUCACGGGGACAUUGCAUGGGGAUGUUGCACGGGGACGUUGCAUGGGGGUCAUUGCACAGGGACAUUGUGCAGGGACAUCAUUGCACAGGGAUAUUGCAAGGGGCAUUGCACUAUUGCAUGGGGAUGUUGCACAGGGAUAUCAUUGCAUGGGGACAUUGUGCAGGGACAUCAUUGCACAGGGACAUUCCACUAUUGCACAGGGACAUUGCACAGAGAUAUCAUUGCAUGGGGGUCAUUGCACAGGGGCAUUGUGCAGGGACAUCACUGCACGGGGACAUUGCAUGGGGACAUUGCACGGGGAUGUUGCAUGGGUACAUUGCACGGGGACAUUGCACUAUUGCAUGGGGACAUUGUGCAGGGAUAUCAUUGCACGGGGGCAUUGCACAGUGAUAUUGUGCAGGGACAUCAUUGCAUGGGGAUAUUGCACAGGGCAUUGCACUAUUGCAUGAGGAUAUUGCACAGGGAUAUCAUUGCAUGGGGGCAUUGCAUGGGGGCAUUGUGCAGGGAUAUUGUGCAGGGACACCAUUGCACAGGGAUAUUGCAUGGGGACAUUGCACUAUUGCAUGGGGAUAUUGCACAGAGAUAUCAUUGCAUGGGGGCGUUGCAUAGGGACAUUGCAUGGGGGUCAUUGCACAGGGAUAUUGCACAGAGGUGUUGCACUAUUGCAUGGGGACAUUGCACAGGGAUCUCAUUGCACACGGGCGUUGCACGAGGACAUUGUGCAGGGACAUAA
rnacentral:lncRNA from 1 species